AUAAAAGCAGAUCCAUUAUAAAUAUAAAAGAAGAAUGAUACAGAGAAGAUCAGCAUGGUCCCUGAGCAAGGAUGAUACAUGAAUUCAUGAAGCUUUCCAUAUUUUU
ensembl:snRNA RNU6-947P RNA, U6 small nuclear 947, pseudogene